GGCUGGGUAGCUCAGUCGGCCAGAGCAGGGGUCUCAUAAGCCCCGUGUCGGCGGUUCGAUUCCGCCCCCAGCCA
rnacentral:tRNA from 2 species